CUCCCCCAGCCACACACAUUUCCCCUCUCUCAUUUCUUUCUUUCUCUCUCUAGAACCACUCUAGGGUUGGUGGAGAAGGUGGAAAAGAGCUUGGAGGAGGUGCUUUUGGAGCUUGGAGAAGACCUAGGACUCUCCUACAAGGUGGACUUGGGGCUAGCUUGUGGCUAAGGUGAGAUUUUCAUGGAAACCUAGGCUAGGGUUUGAUCGUACUCACUUUAGCCAACGAGGGUUUGUGAGCUUUUAUUUGCAUAAUGUAUAUUCAAUUGCAUGUUGAAUGUUUGAAAGAAUGUGAGAGUUAUAAAUCCUAUGUAUGCAUGAUUGUGACAAGAAUCUAGAAGGGUUAGUAAACAAAAGUGACACUAUGACAUAGAUUUAGCAAGUGGCAUGGACGAGUCUAGAACAUUUAGUAAACAAGUGUGACAUUUGGCAUGAGAACAAGAAUAUAGUACUUAGUAAACAAGUGUGACACGAGGACAAGAACUUGACAGUGCAUAUGACACUAGUGAUAGCAAAGAUUGAAAGGAAAAGAAUGAUUGUGAUAUACGACAUUUUAACCUUAGAGUUAAGAGUCAUUGAGCAUGAUCUUCCUUAAAGUUAAGGAAUAGAUUAAAUUUGGAAUCCUCAAAUGUAGGAUUUGAUCGUACUCACUUUAGUCCUUGCUCGAGGUUGUGGUAGCUCCCCCUCGGGCGAUGUGCUCCGGAGUCGACAUCACUGGGUUGUAGCGAGUAUCUCCCCAGAGGUCAGUCCCAUCGGGUUGUAGCGAGUAUCUCCCCGAAUAUUGGGAUUUUGAGUUGGUGAGUUUGUUGAGGGCGAAACCUACGGGUUAGCCAAGAGAUUGGGUAAAGCAACUAUGAUC
rnacentral:lncRNA from 1 species